GGAGGGACUAAAGAUGUUGGAGAUAUGUGGACCCUGUCAGGCAGGUGGUUCUGAUCAAGACUCCGGGUCCAGAUGGAUCCAGGCUGGUCCCAGGACGUCCCACGGUGCCGGACCUGCUGGGAGCAAAGACGCCCUGCUGGGAAACCUCCUCAUGUCUAAAUGAGACGGGUCCGGCUCUGAGAUCCAGAGGGUGACCCAGAUAUUAAACCCCACAGAGGGUUGAUUAGAGGGUCUGAGAACUGGAUGGUGAGAAGGGAAGGUGGAAGCUGAAUUAGUGAGGAUGACUCCUGCUCCUGUCAUCUCUAAGCUCCUCACACAUCUUUACCUGCACAUGAGGAAAAUCACUCCUGUAGAAUGCAGAUGUUCAGAGGGAGAUGAUGCCACAUCUGGUCCAGCUGAUGGAAGGUCUUGAAGUUCUCUGACUGGCCUCGACUGAAGAUGGUCGUCUCACUGGAUUUAAGGUUCAGAUGCUCAGUAACAAACUCCACCAAUGAGCCAACAGGGAAGCUUUAGGUUUAUUAAAUGUUGCUAUGAAGGUUUCACUGUUUUUCUUAGUGAAUGCAAUGAGCUCCAACUGAAAGUUGAAUUAGAACUUAGAAGUAAAUCCUUCCAUCUGAAAGGAUUUAGUCACAUUAAUAACCUCAUAACAUUCUAAUUUUUAUUCCAGUUUUGGUUGGAAAUAGAAUCUCUGUAUUGAUUCAGGUAAAAACUGAACUUCACAGCAUGUUGCAGCAAAACAACCAGAUGAAAACUGUGAUGGUGUUGGAUUGUCAGAC
ensembl:lncRNA